rnacentral:rRNA from 1 species
CCUACGGGAGGCAGCAGUGGGGGAUAUUGCACAAUGGGGGGAACCCUGAUGCAGCGACGCCGCGUGGGUGAAGAAGCGCCUCGGCGCGUAAAGCCCUGUCAGCAGGGAAGAAAAUGACGGUACCUGAAGAAGAAGCCCCGGCUAACUACGUGCCAGCAGCCGCGGUAAUACGUAGGGGGCAAGCGUUAUCCGGAUUUACAGGGUGGAAAGGGGGCGCAGACGGCGAUGCAAGCCAGGAGUGAAAGCCCGGGGCCCAACCCCGGGACUGCUCUUGGAACUGCGUGGCGGGAGUGCAGGAGGGGCAGGCGGAAUUCCUGGUGUAGCGGUGAAAUGCGUAGAUAUCAGGAGGAACACCGGUGGCGAAGGCGGCCUGCUGGACUGCAACUGACGUUGAGGCCCGAAAGCGUGGGGAGCAAACAGGAUUAGAUACCCCAGUAGUU